AUGCGCUUGGUCACGGACGCUGACAAACUCUACAAGGGCCAGCUGUCGGAGUUCACCCCCCUGGCGUCCCUCCAGGCCCCGCCCAAGGCCGGCGGCCGCCGGCGUGGCUCGGAAAACCAAAGGAACCCGCGAAGGUCUGCAGCUUUUAGCAAGAAACUCAUGUUCACCCGCUGGCAGAGAAGGCCAGACUACUGCACCUUCACGCCGCUGCUCCGCCUGGUGGACGGCCAUUCGCCGCACCACAACGCCUAUGGUGGGGCGGAGCCUGAGACCUGCGUCUGACCCUUUUGUUUUUUUUUAACUCAACUGUUUGGAGAUAAUUCAAGCACAAAGCAUUGUGGGAAGCAUCCAGGUCUUCCUAAGGGCUCUGCGUGUGGGUGUGCCUUCACGUGCCGCGUCCCGCUCUCUCACCUGUCCUCUCCUGACUCCGCCUCUCCGCAGGACUAACUGGUGUUGCCUCUGCGCAAACCUGUUAUCCAGAAACACUCCGUAGGACGGAGCCCGCCGCAGCGCUGUAAGGAGGACCGGCAGGAAAGCCGGAACGCUUUAGAGCGCGGUCCUAAACCCCGCUCCAGAAGGUUCCGGCUUUCCUCGCGUCUGUUGUGCUUGACGGGAUAGAGAAGCGUUUCUGUAGUCUCUACUGUAGAGCGGGAGCCUCAAACUCCAGACCCGGAGGGUCUUUGAAGCAGCGAUCUAAAACCGUAAUCGAAACCUGCUGAAUCCCCUUCGGGGUUGCUGGAGCCUAUCCUAGUCACAGCAAUCUGCUCAAACGAGGGAAUGUGUCGUCGUGUCAGACUGCUUCAAAGACGCUCCUCCAGACUAGAUGGAGCUCACCUGGUGCAGGUGGGACCAGGACGGAGUUUGACCCCUCCCUCCCCCCCGCUGUAGCUGUGUAGUUCUCAGGAGAAGAUUACAACGCUGCCUUAAAGCUUCCUCUGAGUGUGGAGGAUCAGAUCUCCAAUGGUGGAGCGUCAGUUUGACCUGCUCGAGCUGCUUCACUGUUCAUUGUUAAACAAACCAAAUAACAUUUUCAAGCUCUAAAGCGUCCCCAACAUGGUAACAACCUCAUUUUUGGUUUGAAUUUUUUUUUUUUUUUUUUAUUAGAAACUCAAAAGUUGUUGGAAAAAUUCAGUGGAACCAAAAGCCUUAAGCUCCUCCCUGUUUUUUCCUCUUUAAAGACCCACUCCGAUCAUCAUUACUCUUAAACAUUAUGACGCUCUAGGACAGGAAGGAUUUUGUUAGAAAUUCACUCAUGUGGGUUGGACCCCCGUUCCCAUCACCCAUCUGUUCAAAGCACAUGUCAAAGUAAUGGCCCGGGGGCCGGAUCCGGCCCUCCAGGUAAUUCUAUUCGGCCCUCCAGAUCAUUUUAUUUAUACUUGUAUAAUUUUGACAAAAUACAUUUUUACGGAGAGUAAAAUAUUGAAAGUUAUUUAAGGUUUAAGUUGAUUUAUUCUGGUAUAAUAUUCCUGACUUUUUAUUAUUAAUAAUUAUGUUAAAAAGUUACAGUUUUAAAAUUUUGUUUAUUUAUUUAUUUUUAGGCUAUUUUAGAGUUUAUCUAUUUUUUCAGCUACAUGCUAGCUGUUUAGGCUAACCUAAGUUUUUUUUUUCUUCAAUAAAUGUUUCUCCUGUUCAGCCCCAUGACCUCAGGUGUGUUUUGGAUUUUGGCCCCUUGUGUGAUUCAGUUUGACACCCCUGGUUCACACGCUCUCCUGCUAGCUUACAGCCCCUCACACCCAAAAGUGGAUGCAUUAUGUCACAAACAUUCACAAGAAUCUGAAUAAAUAAAUAUUCGGAAACACAAUUUUAAUCUUCAGUUUCUAUAGCUUGAUCAAAGAACAUGUUAAAAUCACCAAAAACAGCCUUUUUAUCGGAGUUGGUCUUUAAAGUAAACAAGCCUUAAAUCUAAUCGUUCACAUCCGUCCAUCCAAACACGUUUCAGUUCACUUCUAUUUAUGAGAACACAAACUCGUUAUUAAGAUUAAAAGUUUUUUAUAAUAUUUACCAAUUUCAGGGUAAGAAAACAACCUGAAGGUUACGUUAGCAUAAGCAUCACUGAAUCGCCUUAACGAUCAGAGACUUUAAACAGGGGCCUCUAAACCGGAUCCGGCCCACUUCUACAUUUGGCCCGGCUUCUGACCAAUAUUGGGAAUGCAUGAUUUCUUCUACCCCCCCCAAUCUGGCUUUGAGAUUAUUAGUUAACACUGCUAGCAAAACAAUGUUUUUCUAACAGUAUGUUUUGUUAGCAUCAAUCACAGACAGAAAUGCUAACAGAAAACACUGUUAGCAUCAAUACCAGACAGAAAUGCUAACAGAAAACACUGUUAGCAUCAAUACCAGACAGAAAUGCUAACAGAAAACACUGUUAGCAUCAAUACCAGACAGAAAUGCUAACAGAAAACACUGUUAGCAUCAAUCACAGAUAGAAAUGCUAACAGAAAACACAAUUAGCAUCAAUACCAGACAGAAAUGCUAACAAAAAACACUGUUAGCAUCAAUACCAGACAGAAAUGCUAACAGAAAACACAAUUAGCAUCAAUACCAGACAGAAAUGCUAACAAAAAACACUGUUAGCAUCAAUACCAGACAGAAAUGCUAACAGAAAACACAGUUAGCAUCAAUACCAGACAGAAAUGCUAACAGAAAACACUGUUAGCGUCAAUACCAGACAGAAAUGCUAACAGAAAACACUGUUAGCAUCAAUGCCAGACAGAAAUGCUAACAGAAAACAUAGUUAGCAUCAAUACCAGACAGAAAUGCUAACAGAAAACACAGUUAGCAUCAAUACCAGACAGAAAUGCUAACAGAAAACACUGUUAGCCCUGUUAGCCUACAAACUGACCCCGGCCCCUCAUCAGUGAACAUAAAACUUCUGCUGUCCUCACAUGAAACCGUUUGGGGACCCCUGCUCUAAAGCAUAUUUAAACAGAGUUCUAGUCCUUUCUAGUCUGAAGGUAGAAGCUGAAGGUUUCUCUUGUCCUUUUCUUCAUAGCUGUUCUGUCUUCUCCUCCUUCUUCUGCAGCAUCUUCAACGUUUCCUCCUUCACUCCAUUAAGCAUCUUUUCAACUCCAGUCCACAGGAUUUUUUUUUUUGUUGUCGUUUCGAGUAGAACUUGUGAGUAGGACUUAUAUGAACCAAAGCCUUUCUGCUGCUGUUGUAGACAUCACUCUAGCUGCUUUAAAUUAGGUGCCUUGUGCGAGUUUUUAUUUAAAAAAAAUAAAUAAAAAAAAAAAAAGGUAAACGUACCUGCUUUGCUCUGGGGUCACUUCUACUAACAGAAACUGUUUCCAAGCUGCUGAACAAACUACUAAACAGGAAGUUGUUUUUUUUAAACGAGUUUAAACAUUUCUGUUCGUCUUUUUACCCAAAGUUAUUUAUUAAAGUUCGUAUGAGUAUCAGCGUUUAUAUUUAUGAUGGAAUAGAAGUAUCUGCACGCAUGGAGGAUGUCAUAUCUAAACCCUGAUGACGAGUGAAUGUCGGGUCAGAGCCAUGCCGACCGUCACCUUCUACCUGGUGCUCCACCUGGAGGCGGAGCUUCAGAAUAAUUUUUUUCAUCUUUUACGUAAGAACCAACAUUUAAUGUCGCAGACGUCUGUUUUAAAAGUUACUUUUCCAUGUUUUUUUUUUUUUUUGAGGAAAUAUCAAUAAGUCUGUUGUUACCAUGGUAACCAGAACCGUACGGACCGACAGCCUUCACACACAGUUAUUGAUGUAUUACUGCAUAGUGUUCUACACUCAUGUUACCUUUCACUGUACUGUAAAAUACAGUAUAAAUAUAUAUAUAUAUAUGAACAAUCCCUAUGUUAGUGUACAGUUUCAGGAUCUUUUUGUAAAACAGUUUUUAAGAGUCGGUAAGAUUUACUGGUGGUUUUUUUUGCCAAUCCUUACUGUUGGGAAUGUACAUGGAUUUGCUUGGAAAAAAAUAAAAUAAGAAAG
ensembl:lncRNA